UACGUAGGGCGCAAGCGUUAUCCGGAAUUAUUGGGCGUAAAGAGCUCGUAGGCGGUUUGUCGCGUCUGCCGUGAAAGUCCGGGGCUCAACUCCGGAUCUGCGGUGGGUACGGGCAGACUAGAGUGCAGUAGGGGAGACUGGAAUUCCUGGUGUAGCGGUGAAAUGCGCAGAUAUCAGGAGGAACACCAGUGGCGAAAGCGGGUCUCUGGGCCGUAACUGACGCUGAGGAGCGAAAGCGUGGGGAGCGAACAGG
rnacentral:rRNA from 1 species